rnacentral:rRNA from 1 species
GCAAGUCGAGCGCACUCUUCGGGGUGAGCGGCGGACGGGUUAGUAACGCGUGGGAAUAUACCCUUCACUACGGAAUAGCCUCGGGAAACUGAGAGUAAUACCGUAUACGCCCUUCGGGGGAAAGAUUUAUCGGUGAUGGAUUAGCCCGCGUUAGAUUAGAUAGUUGGUGGGGUAAUGGCCUACCAAGACGAUGAUGCAUAGCCGACCUGAGAGGGUGAUC